UAUACUUAUAGUCCAGUUCUAGAACACUGUAAUUACUGACUAGCUGCACACAGUAUUCCUAAAGGUUCUAUACUUUUUGUCCAGUUCUAGAACACUGUAAUUACUGACUAGCUGCACACAGUAUUCCUAAAGGUUCUAUACUUAUAGUCCAGUUCUAGAACACUGUAAUUACUGACUAGCUGCACACAGUAUUCCUAAAGGUUCUAUACUUAUAGUCCAGUUCUAGAACACUGUAAUUACUGACUAGCUGCACACAGUAUUCCUAAAGGUUCUAUACUUAUAGUCCAGUUCUAGAACACUGUAAUUACUGACUAGCUGUACACAG